AUUGAACGCUGGCGGCAGGCCUAACACAUGCAAGUCGAGCGAGCGGCGGACGGGUGAGUAAUGUCUGUGAAACUGCCUGAUGUAGGGGGAUAACUACUGGAAACGGUAUCUAAUACCCCAUACCAUCAGAUGUUCCCAGAGGGGAUUCGCUAGUAGGUGUGGUAACGGCUCACCUAGGAGACAAUCCCUAGCUGGUCUGAGAGGAUGACCAGCCACACUGGAACUGAGCAACGGUCCAGACUCCUACGGGAGGCAGCAGUGGGGAAUAUUGCACAAUGGGCGCAAGCCUGAGGCAGACAUGCCGCGUGUGGGAAGAAGGCCUUCGGGUUGUAAAGUACUUUCAGCGGGGAGGCGUUACCCGCAGAAGAAGCACCGGCUAACUCCGUGCCAGCAGCCGCGGUAAUAC
rnacentral:rRNA from 1 species